rnacentral:rRNA from 1 species
UACGUAGGGGGCAAGCGCUGUCCGGAAUCAUUGGGCGUAAAGAGCGUGUAGGCGGCUCGGUAAGUCCGCUGUGAAAGUCCAGGGCUCAACCCUGGAAUGCCGGUGGAAACUGUCGAGCUAGAGUCCGGAAGAGGCGAGUGGAAUUCCUGGUGUAGCGGUGAAAUGCGCAGAUAUCAGGAGGAACACCGAUGGCGAAGGCAGCUCGCUGGGACGGUACUGACGCUGAGACGCGAAAGCGUGGGGAGCAAACAGG